rnacentral:lncRNA from 1 species
CCAUAGCCAAUCUAAUGUAGUGUUUGAUUUGUUUAACCAAGGUUUUAGCUUUUUUACAAAAUGACAAUUACCUUCGACAAAACUUGAGCUAACCUUGGGAGAUCAGUGAAGGCUCAAGGGUCUCGAUGUCAUUUGACUAGAAAGGGGAAAUUUGAACACUUUUCAGAGUUUAUGGAUGCAGAAAAUUCACAUUUAGGUGUCUUGCAAAUUAUAAGUAUACAAAAUUGUACAGAUUUAAAGUUAAGCGAGAGUGAGAGAUGCCAAAAAAAAAUCACAAAUGUGUGCACAAUCAUAAUGACAGGGCUUGCACUUUUAGAAGAUGAAUCUUAUGAAGAUGUGUAGAAACUGGAUCUUAAUUUUCCCUAGCUGUCAAAGAUACUCCACUGGCCGCUGUCUAGGUGAGCUUCCUGGGCUGAAGCUUUCAUCAGUGCAUCAGGGGAUCUGAUUCACCUUUUUUGGAAGAUGUAGGCAUUCCAGACAAACCAAAAAUUGUAGGCAAUGUAGGAGGCAAGAGUCACUUGAUUCCUCUGAGGCCCUUUUUGAGCAUCCUGCUUGAGGUAUGCCAGGAAGUCAUCUACGGUGAUGGAAGGCCAUGUAGCCAG